AACUCUAAGGGGUGGAUCACUCGGCUCAUGGGUCGAUGAAGAACGCAGCAAACUG
rnacentral:rRNA from 1 species